GACGAACGCUGGCGGCGUGCUUAACACAUGCAAGUCGAACGGAAAGGCCCUGCUUUUGUGGGGUGCUCGAGUGGCGAACGGGUGAGUAACACGUGAGUAACCUGCCCUUGACUUUGGGAUAACUUCAGGAAACUGGGGCUAAUACCGGAUAGGAGCUCCUGCUGCAUGGUGGGGGUUGGAAAGUUUCGGCGGUUGGGGAUGGACUCGCGGCUUAUCAGCUUGUUGGUGGGGUAGGGGCUUACCAAGGGUUUGACGGGUAGCCGGCCUGAGAGGGUGACCGGCGACAUGGGGACUGAGAGACGGACCAGAAUCCUACGGGAGGCAGCAGGGGGGAAUAUUGCACAAUGGGCGGAAGCCUGAUGCAGCAACGCCGCGUGCGUGAUGACGGCCUUCGGGUUGUAAACAGCUUUCGCCUGUGACGAAGCGUGAGUGACGGUAAUGGGUAAAGAAGCAACGGCUAACUACGUG
rnacentral:rRNA from 1 species